rfam:Pichia angusta strain DL-1 mitochondrion, complete genome.
AGGUUUAUAGUUUAACGGUAAAACCAUAGUCUUCAAAACUAUAUUUGAGAGUUCGAAUCUUUCUAAACCUG